UAGUCCCUUCCUUGAAGCGGUCGGAUAAUCACAUGACGAGCCUCAAGCAAGGGACUUCA
rnacentral:pre_miRNA from 2 species